rnacentral:misc_RNA from 1 species
AAGUUGUAACAAGGUCUCUGUUAGUGAACUAGCGGAGGGAUCAUUAUAGAGUUGCAAAACUCCUAUCACCAUUGCGAACUUACCUUACAACCGUUGCUUUGGCAGGCGGCCCUAGGCUUCUGCUUUCCUAGAUCCUUAGGGCCCUAUAGCCUGAUUGUUAGGUGCUUGCCAGAGGUCAUGCAACUAGACAUUGUUUAUAGCCUAUUAGAAUUUGUACUACCAAUUAGUUAAAACUUUCAACAACAGAUCUCUUGGUUCUA